GGCGUAGCUCAGGUGGUUAGCGCACCUGAUAAGGGUGAGGUCGGUGGUUCAAGUCCACUCAGGCCACCA
rnacentral:tRNA from 1 species